GACGAACGCUGGCGGCGUGCUUUAUACAUGCAAGUCGAACGAUGAAGUUUCUUCGGGAAUGGAUUAGUGGCGAACGGGUGAGGAACACGUGAGAAACCUGCCUCUCAUUCUGGGAUAACACCGGGAAACCGGUGCUAAUACCGGAUACUCCGUCUUGGCGGCAUCGCCGAGCCGGGAAAAAAUUUUGAUGAAAGAUGGUCUCGCGGCCUAUCAGCUAGUUGGUGAGGUAAAGGCUCACCAAGGCGACGACGGGUAGCCGGCCUGAGAGGGCGACCGGCCACACUGGGACUGAGACACGGCCCAGACUCCUACGGGAGGCAGCAGUAGGGAAUAUUGGGCAAUGGGCGCAAGCCUGACCCAGCGACGCCGCGUGAGGGAUGAAGGUCUUCGGAUUGUAAACCUCUUUCAGUAGGGAAGAAGCGAAAGUGACGGUACCUAAAGAAGAAGCACCGGCUAACUAUGUGCCAGCAGCCGCGGUAA
rnacentral:rRNA from 1 species